GAUGAAGAACGUAGCAAAAUGCGAUAAGUAAUGUGAAUUGCAGAAUUCAGUGAAUCAUCGAAUCUUUGAACGCAUCUUGCGCUCCUUGGUAUUCCGAGGAGCAUGCCUGUUUGAGUGUCAUUUAACUUCUCAACCACAUUGGAUAUUUUUUUUCCGAUGCCGGCUUGGAUGUGGGGGUUGUUUGCAGGCUUUUUGUAACAAAAAAGGUCGGCUCCCCUGAAAUGUAUUAGUGGUAUCUGAGGCUAUUACUAUUAGGUGUGAUAAUUAUCUAUGCCUUUUGGGUAUGCCGCAUGAACAGAUUAUGCUGCUUCUAACGAAAACUAUUUUGAUGAAUUUGACCUCAAAUCAGGUAGGACUACCCGCUGAACUUAAGCAUAUCAAUAAGCGGAGGA
rnacentral:misc_RNA from 1 species